rnacentral:rRNA from 1 species
CAGUCGCCGCGGUAAUACGGAGGGUGCAAGCGUUAAUCGGAAUUACUGGGCGUAAAGCGCACGCAGGCGGUCUGUCAAGUCAGAUGUGAAAUCCCCGGGCUUAACCUGGGAACUGCAUUUGAAACUGGCAGGCUAGAGUCUUGUAGAGGGGGGUAGAAUUCCAGGUGUAGCGGUGAAAUGCGUAGAGAUCUGGAGGAAUACCGGUGGCGAAGGCGGCCCCCUGGACAAAGACUGACGCUCAGGUGCGAAAGCGUGGGGAGCAAACAGGAUUAGAUACCCCGGUAGUCCCUGUCUCUUAUAU